AGGAGAGGACGGAAUAGAUACAGAGAGGGAGACACCGGCAGCCGACGUCAAAAACGGAGGAUUGAAAAAGAGGGUCGCGCGGGAGAAAAUAAACGAUAACAGUGCUUACUACAAUAAUAAUAAUUUAGGUUAUUAAUUACUCUAAAGUAAAGAACAACUAAACUGAAGAAAACAACAAAAAUAUUGUUGAGACGCGAUAACAAUAGUAAGCCACAGUGACACUGUGUCACGCAAAUAUUUAAUGUAGAAAAUCAAGUUGAAUCAACAGUAUCUGUAGGAGGGAAAGAGUAACCGAGGAAAUUUACGAGAGAAAGGCACGACUGAGAAGAGUGACAGACACAUCCCGAAGAAGAGGAGAGCCGGUUACACGAUUUUUUAUCGGGCUCGAGUGAUCUCUUGCCAAGAAAAAAAUUAACUGGAGCCCACCGUUUAUAACCGAUUUAAACUGGGAGUAGGAAGCACAAAGGGUAGAAGGACCUCGACUGAAGAAUUGGAGAAACAUACAGAAGGAACGACAAAUAAAGGAAAAACAAAGAAAAUAGAUAAGCUACGCCAAAUAGUGGGUUUGGGACAUAUACAUAUUUGCAAUUUUCUUCUGAAAUUUGUCCAGGUUGGUUCUGGUAUUAGCCUAUGUGAUCCUUCGCACGUAACAUUUCUACAUAUGUAUGUAGUUACAACGUUAACCUAACCGGACAAAGAGAAGCGCCAUACAUUGACAUAGGCUACGGUCCCUCUACACCUACAGCUGGUUAAACAAAGGAAACCUACAGAAACACUGUUACUGUUGGUUUGCAUGAAUCAUUUUCGGUUGAAGAAGGGCACUGAAGAAUAUCGUAACUAGAAGUCCCCGAGUCCUCCUCACUCCCCGCGCAGCGGUCUAGUGUCGAUCCCCGGGGCGCGUCGGUCGCUCUCCCCGCACCGUCUCAAUGAAGGAGGCCGACGCUAUUAAACUGUUUAUCGGCCAGAUUCCUCGGAAUCUGGAAGAAAAGGACCUGAAACCCAUCUUCGAGCAGUUCGGGAAGAUCUAUGAGCUGACGGUGAUAAAGGACAAAUAUACCGGGAUGCACAAAGGAUGUGCCUUCCUGACGUACUGUGCGCGGGAGUCUGCCCUCAAAGCCCAGAGUGCCCUGCACGAGCAGAAGACCCUCCCGGGGAUGAACCGCCCCAUCCAGGUGAAGCCCGCGGACAGCGAGGGCCGAGGAGAAGACAGGAAGCUGUUUGUGGGCAUGCUGGGGAAGCAGCAGUCGGACGAGGACGUGAGGAAGAUGUUCGAGCCCUUCGGGAGCAUCGAUGAGUGCACGGUGCUGCGGGGCCCAGACGGAACCAGCAAAGGUUGCGCCUUUGUGAAAUUCCAGAGCCACGCAGAGGCGCAGGCCGCCAUCAACACACUGCACGGGAGCCGCACCCUGCCGGGUGCUUCCUCCAGUCUGGUCGUGAAGUUUGCCGACACCGAGAAGGAGCGGGGACUGCGGCGCAUGCAGCAGGUGGCCUCCCAGCUGGGCAUCUUCAGUCCCAUGACCUUGAACUUCGGAGCUUACAACGCCUACACACAGGCUGUGAGUGUUGUGCCGAGGAGUCUACGAUUGGUCCAACAGCAGGCCCUGGUUGCACAGUCAGCGUACUUGUCGCCCGUGGCAACAGUUGCCGCGGUGCAGAUGCAGCAGAUGGCUGCACUCAAUGCCAAUGGCAUCAUUGCCACGCCCAUCACACCCAUCACCCCCUCUUCGGAUUCUAGUAGCUGUCAAUCACAAUCUCUCCUGCACUGUGAUUGGUCCUCCUGGUUUGCAGGUACAAAUACCCCCCCAACAAUCGCAGCCACACCUGUGCCAGCACUACCUCCGCCAAUUGGAGUCAACGGGUAUAGCCCUGUGCAAGCCCCUGCCAAUGGACAGCCAGCGUCCGAAACACUGUACACCAAUGGUGUUCAUCCGUACCAAGCCCAGAGUCCAGCUGCAGCCUUGGACCCCCUUCAGCAAGCUUAUGCAGGCAUGCAACACUAUACAGCGGCGUACCCUGCUGCGUAUGGAUUAGUUGGCCAGCCGUUCCCACAGCAACCCACCCUGGUUGCCCAGCAACACCAGCAGCCCCAGCAACAGCAACAGCGCGAAGGUCCUGAGGGAUGUAAUAUCUUCAUCUACCACCUGCCCCAGGAGUUCACUGACUCGGAGAUGCUGCAGAUGUUCCUGCCCUUUGGCAACGUCAUCUCCGCCAAGGUCUUUGUUGACCGCGCCACCAACCAGAGCAAGUGUUUUGGCUUUGUGAGCUUCGACAACCCCGCCAGCGCCCAGACGGCCAUCCAGGCCAUGAACGGCUUCCAGAUCGGCAUGAAGCGGCUGAAGGUGCAGCUGAAGAGGCCCAAGGACGCCAACCGGCCGUACUGAGGCUCCGGGGGGAGCCGGAGAGAGAUCCUCCUGUCCAAUCAUAAAUUGUGAAGACUCCGUCGCUAUGGCUAUGGUUACCUAGCAACCGAUAAAGCCCUGCCCCCCCUUCCUCUCACGUUGUUGUGAAGAUUCAGUAGAUGCCUGUGGAGAGUUUCCAGUGAAUGCUGCCUCAGACUGCGGUGUCUGUUAAGCAUCAGGACGUCCUAUCUAAAGUCACAACUGCACAAUCACACGUCAGACACACGACUCCAUGCUCAGCAUAUUUAUCAAUAUGUACGGACCAAUGUAAAAAGAAAAAAAAAGACACAUAUCCAGUGGAAAACACAAA